rnacentral:rRNA from 1 species
GAUGAACGCUGGCGGCGUGCCUAAUACAUGCAAGUCGAGCGAACGGACGAGAAGCUUGCUUCUCUGAUGUUAGCGGCGGACGGGUGAGUAACACGUGGAUAACCUACCUAUAAGACUGGGAUAACUUCGGGAAACCGGAGCUAAUACCGGAUAAUAUUUUGAACCGCAUGGUUCAAAAGUGGAAGACGGUCUUGCUGUCACUUAUAGAUGGAUCCGCGCUGCAUUAGCUAGUUGGUAAGGUAACGGCUUACCAAGGCAACGAUGCAUAGCCGACCUGAGAGGGUGAUCGGCCACACUGGAACUGAGACACGGUCCAGACUCCUACGGGAGGCAGCAGUAGGGAAUCUUCCGCAAUGGGCGAAAGCCUGACGGAGCAACGCCGCGUGAGUGAUGAAGGUCUUCGGAUCGUAAAACUCUGUUAUUAGGGAAGAACAUAUGUGUAAGUAACUGUGCACAUCUUGACGGUACCUAAUCAGAAAGCCACGGCUAACUACGUGCCAGCAGCCGCGGUAAUACGUAGGUGGCAAGCGUUAUCCGGAAUUAUUGGGCGUAAAGCGCGCGUAGGCGGUUUUUUAAGUCUGAUGUGAAAGCCCACGGCUCAACCGUGGAGGGUCAUUGGAAACUGGAAAACUUGAGUGCAGAAGAGGAAAGUGGAAUUCCAUGUGUAGCGGUGAAAUGCGCAGAGAUAUGGAGGAACACCAGUGGCGAAGGCGACUUUCUGGUCUGUAACUGACGCUGAUGUGCGAAAGCGUGGGGAUCAAACAGGAUUAGAUACCCUGGUAGUCCACGCCGUAAACGAUGAGUGCUAAGUGUUAGGGGGUUUCCGCCCCUUAGUGCUGCAGCUAACGCAUUAAGCACUCCGCCUGGGGAGUACGACCGCAAGGUUGAAACUCAAAGGAAUUGACGGGGACCCGCACAAGCGGUGGAGCAUGUGGUUUAAUUCGAAGCAACGCGAAGAACCUUACCAAAUCUUGACAUCCUUUGACAACUCUAGAGAUAGAGCUUUCCCCUUCGGGGGACAAAGUGACAGGUGGUGCAUGGUUGUCGUCAGCUCGUGUCGCGAGAUGUUGGGUUAAGUCCCGCAACGAGCGCAACCCUUAAGCUUAGUUGCCAUCAUUAAGUUGGGCACUCCAAGUUGACUGCCGGUGACAAACCGGAGGAAGGUGGGGAUGACGUCAAAUCAUCAUGCCCCUUAUGAUUUGGGCUACACACGUGCUACAAUGGACAAUACAAAGGGCAGCGAAACCGCGAGGUCAAGCAAAUCCCAUAAAGUUGUUCUCAGUUCGGAUUGUAGUCUGCAACUCGACUACAUGAAGCUGGAAUCGCUAGUAAUCGUAGAUCAGCAUGCUACGGUGAAUACGUUCCCGGGUCU